rnacentral:snRNA from 1 species
UAAAACAAAGAUUAUCAAGA